rnacentral:rRNA from 1 species
AUGGGGCGUCCGUGCGUCGGCGCUCUCCUGGCGUGCGCCGCCGUUGCAGCUUCUUGCUGCGGCUGCUUCCAGUUCCAGGGUGCUGCUGCGGCGGCGACCCCGUCGUUCGGGGACAACUUCGACAUCACCGGCGCCGAGGACCACGUCAAGACCUCCCCCGACGGCCAGACCUGGUACCUCUCCCUCGACAACAAGACGGGCGUUGGGUUCCAGACGAAGCAGAAGUACCUGUUCGGGUGGUUCAGCAUGAAGCUCAAGCUCGUCGGGAACGACUCCGCCGGCGUCGUCACCGCCUACUACAUGUGCUCGGACCUGGACGCGGCGCCGGAGCGCGACGAGCUGGACUUCGAGUUCCUGGGCAACCGCACCGGCGAGCCGUACAUCAUCCAGACGAACGUGUACCGCAGCGGCGUAGGCGGGCGGGAGAUGCGGCACUCGCUGUGGUUCGACCCCACCGCCGAGUUCCACAGCUACUCCAUCCUCUGGAACCCCAAGCAGAUCGUGUUUUUCGUGGACAAGGUGCCGAUCAGGGAGUACCGCAACUCGGACAAGCCCAACAGGUUCUUCCCGAUCAUGAAGCCCAUGUACGUCUUCUCCAGCAUCUGGAACGCCGACGACUGGGCCACGCGCGGGGGGCUGGAGAAGACGGACUGGACCAAGGGGCCCUUCGUCUCCUCCUACAGCGACUUCACCGCCGACGCCUGCGCCUGGGCCACCGGCCCGGCCCCGCCGGCGUGCGCGGCCGCCACGGGGAACAGCUGGUGGGACCAGCCGCCGGCGUGGGCGCUCGACGACGGCCAGCGCCGGGACUCGGGCUGGGUGGCCAGGAACCUCGUGAUAUACGACUACUGCGACGACCGCAAGAGGUUCCCGGCCGUGCCGGAGGAGUGCGCGCUCAGGACCAAGACUAGCUAG